UACGGAGGGUGCGAGCGUUGUCCGGAAUCACUGGGCGUAAAGGGCGCGUAGGCGGCUUGAUAAGGUUGCGGUGAAAGCCCGGGGCUCAACCCCGGGUCGGCCGUGGCAACUGUCGAGCUGGAGCACUGUAGAGGCAGGUGGAAUUCCGGGUGUAGCGGUGGAAUGCGUAGAGAUCCGGAAGAACACCGGUGGCGAAGGCGGCCUGCUGGGCAGUGGCUGACGCUGAGGCGCGACAGCGUGGGGAGCAAACAGG
rnacentral:rRNA from 1 species